AGGUGUUAAGCCCAAGAGUGAUCCUUAAUGAGCCACGAGCUGAUUUCCAUCUCAAAGGAGAAAAUUGCUUCAAAAAGCCCAUUUCAUUCUUCAAGACUAUUAUUACGGACCCAAACAUUAAAAUGCCGGAGAGCUGGUGAAGCCAUAAAGGAAAGGUCAGCCGGCGCGACGCUGACUUAGUCAAAGACAGUAUUUCCAGGAGGACAAGAACAUGUGAUGAUCAGCUCAGCUUCUCCAGGUCUGCUUUUCUCUUUCUCAUCAGGAACAUGGAGAUCCGCUUACUGAAGUGUUAGGAAAAAGUGGCAACAUGAGACU